GUCCCGGCCCCGAGCCGCGGCGCUGCCCGGGCCCUCGGCAGUGUCCCCAGUGUCCCCGCUGUCCCCCGUGCUGUGUCUGGGAGCAGGACGGAGCAGCCCCUGCGUGUGCCGAGAGAUCACUGCAUGUUGUGAAACUUUCCUGACACAUGAAGGCCUUUGGAAGCUGAGGUGCCCUGAGUGCUGCCAAGGGGCCUUCUCUGAGAUCCCUUCUUCUCAGAGGAAGAGAAACAUUUGCUCAUCUGAUGGUGCACCUGGAACAAAGUCGCAUGGUCUGUUGAUAUUUCUUAGUGCAGCAUUUUUUGUGCAUGAAAAUUCUAACUCAUCAGUACAGCCGUGUCAUGACAGAGUAGCAAAGAGCAUUUCCAGCUUUAAGGGCUAAGGCUUUAUAAAGGUACGUGAUUUAAGGCUGAAGAGCAUUUUCCAACUAUUUGUCUUGUGCAUUACUGAAACAUAAAUGGUUGAAACAGCUCUCCAGUGACUGUCACACACUUGAGCUUGCCCAAAGGUGUCCUGACGUGUAAGGAGAGACGAGCAGCAGGAAUGGGGGAAGAGCCAGCCCGGGGAUCUGAAGUCUCAGCCAUGACUGAUGAACUCAACAUAAAGCCACUGACUGAAGGGAAAAGAGACUCAGACAAAGAAUCUAUGGUAAAUGUGAUCAAAAAUCCUGAUGGACAGUUUAAUCUUGAGGCUGCAAUUAAAAAUGUUGACUCAAUGUCCAAUGAGUUGAAGAAAAUAAAUGUGGAAAGCCAGCUACUGCUUUGUGACCUGAUUCUGAAUUUCAACCGUCCUAUGAAGGCCCAAGAUUUAAGAGAAGCUGAAGAAAAAACUUGGAGUUUGACUGAUUAAGUAACAUCCAUUUUCUUGUAUUGUCUUCUAUUAAUACUGAUGAAGCUGCUUCUUCUUUCUUCUUUCUUCUUUCUUCUUUCAUCUUCUUUCUUUUAAUUAAGUUUGAACUGUACAAUGAUAGCAUGGUUUCCUGCAGAUAGACUAUUUUUAUUUUAAGCUAAACAUGUGGAAUGGAAAAAAAAAUAGGUUAUUCGUUCUGACAGUGGUUUUUUCAACCCACAUUUCCCAAAUUAAGCCCACUAGGGUGGGAAAGACUGAUGUAAUUAAUUAAAAAGGUCAGGAAACUGGGCAUGAAGUUUCUCACACGGUUUUCUUCUUUUAAACAAGAACGUGUUAGAGCAGUAACAAAAGAUUUGAAAUUUACUUCAAGUCACUGUCUCUUGUCUUAGUUGUGCCUGUGGAAACAGGAUAAGAAACUGCCAGUGAAGGAGGAACUGCAAUUUGUGUUUUGAGCUGCCUUCCUCUUCUUAAAAAUGUUGCUGAGGAAGGGGUCAAAGAGCAGAUUGCUUCUGGAAAACAAAAAAUGCUUUCCAUUCUAGUUUCUGUAAUGACUGUCUAGUGCAAAUAGCUACAAGAAUAGGGAGGAGUUUGUGGUUUCAGUGCUCUAUCCUGAAAUCUUCUUGGCCCAACAUUUGCACAGCCACAAUUUUCAUGUAGUUCACUACAAUAAAUAUUCAAUCAUACUUCACUUGUGGACAUGUUUGAAUGUUGAGAUGUAGCUUUAUUCUUACACCAAAUAUAUUUCUCUGAAUAAUCAAAUAGAGAUUUAUUCUACUUUUUAAAAAAUAUGCAGUGUUAGAAUUUGUUGUGCUGGUUUAUGUUUUAUGUCUCUUUUGCUGGUGAGAUAAUUUAAAAUUAAUAAAACAUAAUUCCAUAGGA